GGCUAGAGUUUGAUCAUGGCUCAGGACGAACGCUGGCGGCGCGCCUAACACAUGCAAGUCGAACGGAGUUGAGAGGAGCUUGCUUUUCUUGACUUAGUGGCGAACGGGUGAGUAACGCGUGAGGAACCUGCCUCAAAGAGGGGGACAACAGUUGGAAACGACUGCUAAUACCGCAUAAGCCCACGGUCCCGCAUGGGAGAGAGGGAAAAGGAGCAAUCCGCUUUGAGAUGGCCUCGCGUCCGAUUAGCUAGUUGGUGAGGUAACGGCCCACCAAGGCGACGAUCGGUAGCCGGACUGAGAGGUUGAACGGCCACAUUGGGACUGAGACACGGCCCAGACUCCUACGGGAGGCAGCAGUGGGGAAUAUUGCACAAUGGGGGAAACCCUGAUGCAGCGACGCCGCGUGGAGGAAGAAGGUCUUCGGAUUGUAAACUCCUGUUGUUGGGGAAAAAGAGGAUGGUACCCAACAAGGAAGUGACGGCUAACUACGUGCCAGCAGCCGCGGUAAAACGUAGGUCACAAGCGUUGUCCGGAAUUACUGGGUGUAAAGGGAGCGCAGGCGGGUAUGCAAGUUGGGAGUGAAAUACAUGGGCUCAACCCAUGAACUGCUCUCAAAACUGUGUAUCUUGAGUAGUGCAGAGGUAGGCG
rnacentral:rRNA from 1 species